rnacentral:rRNA from 1 species
AUUGAACGUUGGCGGCAGGCCUACCACAUCCAAGUCGAACGCGUGUCGGACGGGUGCGUAAUGUCUGGGAAACUGCCUGAUGGAGGGGGUUAACUACUGUAAACGUUUUCUACUACCGCUUCUCAUCAUUUGUGUCCAUAUGGGCUUAGCUAGUAGGUGGGGUAACGGCUCACCUAGUCGACCUUCCCUAGCUGGUGCGAUAGGAUGACCAGGCACACAGGAACUGAGACACGGUCCAGACUCCUACGGGAGGCAACAGUGGGGAAUAUUGCACAAUGGGCGCAAGCCUGAGGCAGCCAUGCCGCGUGUGUGAAGAAGACCUUCGGGUUGUAAAGCACUUUCAGCGAGGAGGCGUUACUCGCAGAAGAAGCACCGGCUAACUCCGUGCCAGCAGCCGCGGUAAUUC